rnacentral:sRNA from 1 species
ACUCGUUGCGGGUCGCCUCAGGGCUGUCCGCGACGCAAGACACACACCGUGUCCAAGACACACACCGUGUCACGGGAAGAACGUGGCACUUCAGGGCGUU